UACGGGGGGGGCAAGCGUUGUUCGGAAUUACUGGGCGUAAAGGGCUCGUAGGUGGCCAACUAAGUCAGACGUGAAAUCCCUCAGCUUAACUGGGGAACUGCGUCUGAUACUGGAUGGCUUGGAUUCGGGAGAGGAAUGCGGAAUUCCAGGUGUAGCGGUGAAAUGCGUAGAUAUCUGGAGGAACACCGGUGGCGAAGGCAGCCCCCUGGGCUGAGAUUGACGCUCAGGCACGAAAGCGUGGGGAGCAAACAGG
rnacentral:rRNA from 1 species